GAUGAACGCUGGCGGCGUGCCUAACACAUGCAAGUCGAACGGAGUUAUAUGAAGUUUUCGGACGGAUUAUCACUUAGUGGCGGACGGGUGAGUAACGCGUGGGUAACCUGCCUCAUACAGGGGGCUAACAGUUGGACACGGCUGCUAAACCCGCAUAACAUUGCGACGUCGCAUCAAGAUGCAUUUAAAUAUUUAUAGGUAUGAGAUGGGCCCGCGUCUGAUUAGCUAGUUGGUGGGGUAAUGGCCUACCAAGGCGACGAUCAGUAGCCGGCUUGAGAGAGUGACCGGCCACAUUGGGACUGAGACACGGCCCAAACUCCUACGGGAGGCAGCAGUGGGGAAUAUUGCACAAUGGGGGAAACCCUGAUGCAGCGACGCCGCGUGAGUGAAGAAGUAUUUCGGUAUGUAAAGCUCUAUCAGCAGGGAAGAUUAUGACGGUACCUGACUAAGAAGCCCCGGCUAACUACGUGCCAGCAGCCGCCGUAA
rnacentral:rRNA from 1 species